GAUGAACGCUAGCGAUAGGCUUAACACAUGCAAGUCGAGGGGCAGCACAAGGUAGCUUGCUAUCUGGGUGGCGACCGGCGCACGGGUGCGUAACGCGUAUGCAACUUGCCCUAUACAGGAGGAUAACCCGUCGAAAGACGGACUAAUACUGCGUAUGCUCACAACUUGGCAUCAAUUGGUGAGUAAAGAAAUUCGGUAUAGGAUAGGCAUGCGUCCCAUUAGCUUGUUGGUGAGUUAACGGCUCACCAAGGCAACGAUGGGUAGGGCAACUGAGAGGUGUAUCCCCGACAGUGGUACUGAGAAACGUACCAGACUCCUACGGGAGGGAGCAGUGAGGAAUAUUGGUCAAUGGGCGCGAGCCUGAUCCAGCCAAGUCGCGUGAAGGAUGACUGUCUUAUGGAUUGUAAACUUCUUUUAGAAGGGCAUAACAAGAGUCACGUGUGACUCACUGCAUGUACCGUAUGAAUAAGCAUCGGCUAACUACGUG
rnacentral:rRNA from 1 species